GUGAGUGGGAAGGAAUGGACAAAGGGGAAGAAUUCGAGAAGGGGAAGAAGAAGAACUUGAAAUUUGAAUUGUUGUGCUGGUCCACUCCUUCACGCCUUCGCCCACUUCGUAUUGGUAUUUCCCUGCAAAAGCUCUUUGUGCGAGUCGAUCUUGCGCCAAAGCGGGAGCACCUACUACUGAAUGUGUUGGCGGCAGAGGCACGGGCUGAAGUGGUAGCAGGACAAGGGAGAACAAGGCCUCCCGUUGUUAGUUCAGUUUUGCUAUGUGUCGUGUUCGGAUGUAUCAUGUAAGAAAGAAAUUACAUGAAGACUGUUGCUAGAAAAAAAAGCUUCCACAUGUACAACUUUGUAUUUGUCUUGUUCAUGAAAGCAUGUUUCCUCGUGUUAAGCCACUAGGAAACUUUCAAGCAGUUUUU